AGGUGGUGCGAAAUAGAAAUUUAAAGAGAAAACGGAAACAUUGAAUUAAAUAACUGUUUUCUUAAUUAUGUUUUUUCCUUCCUCCUAUCUUUCUUAGUGAUCCAACUUUU
rnacentral:ribozyme from 1 species